rnacentral:tRNA from 1 species
CCAUCGGUGGUUCAGAGAUAGAAUGCUCGCCUACCACGCGGGCGGCCUGGGUUCGAUUCCCUGCCGAUGCA